UUAAUGAAAGACUUUGUUUUCUUCUCAGGAUCUCCUGCAACUGUUCCUGGCUCCGCUUCGCCAGCAACAACUUCUUCUCUGUGUUUCCUUCUUCUUGAAACUAGAAACAUAUAUAUUUAAUAUUUAAUCGGAAUAAGAAAACUAUCUCCAUCAAUUCCUCUUCCAUCUUGUCUACCUUGCUCUGGUGCUCAUUAAGGGAUUUCACCUUGUUCUGUAGCUCAGUCUCCAACACAGCCAAUUCUUUCUUCUGGAAGAAUCACUUACAUGAUGAUUAACAAGCUCUCUCACCGCGUCAACGCAUUUAUCAUCGUUCAAGCUCGACCAGGAUUCUGGCAAGCUGCCAUCGCUACCAGCACCGUCGUCCGUCUGAAAUGACUCUUACCUUCUCCCACCAUUGAUGAAAUCUUUGAACGCGUUCGUGAUUGCUCAUGAACUCUUGAAACUGACGAUGCUUGGACUGCAAUGUCGUGCGCAGAGAGGCAACUUCCCUACAUAAAUUUUCUACCUAGUACCACACACACACAGAUAUCGAUGCAUUAACAAAAAAGAUAACUGAAAAAAAUAUAGUUUAGAUGCGAG